rnacentral:rRNA from 1 species
UACGGGGGGGGUAAGCGUUGUUCGGAAUUACUGGGCGUAAAGGGCGCGUAGGCGGCCCGCUAAGUCGAACGUGAAAUCCCCGGGCUCAACCCGGGAACUGCGUCCGAUACUGGCAGGCUUGAAUCCGGGAGAGGGAUGCGGAAUUCCAGGUGUAGCGGUGAAAUGCGUAGAUAUCUGGAGGAACACCGGUGGCGAAGGCGGCAUCCUGGACCGGCAUUGACGCUGAGGCGCGAAAGCCAGGGGAGCAAACGGG